rnacentral:rRNA from 1 species
GGAGUCUGGGCCGUAUCUCAGUCCCAAUGUGGCCGUUCAACCUCUCAGUCCGGCUACUGAUCGUAGCCUUGGUGAGCCCUUACCUCACCAACUAGCUAAUCAGACGUGAGCCCAUCUUUCAGCGGAUUGCUCCUUUGGUAGCAGGGAGAUGCCUCCCCGCUACGUUAUGCGGUAUUAGCAGUCGUUUCCAACUGUUGUCCCCCUCUGAAAGGCAGGUUGCUCACGCAUUACUCACCCGUCCGCCACUAAGUCAAAUCCAAUCUUCGACGAAUCUCCGAUCGAAAGUGCUUCGUUCGACUUGCAUGUGUUAGGCACGCCGCCAGCGUUCAUC